CAUGAUGAUUCACACCUGUAAUCCCAGCUACCCAGGAGACUGAGGUGGCAGGAUCACUUGAGCCCAGGAGUUCAAGUCUGUAGUGAGUCAUGAUCAUGCCACUGCACUCCAGCCUGAGAGAGUGAGACCCUAUCUCAAAAAAAAAAAAAAAAAAAAAAAAAAAAUUAAAAACAGGAAACUUGAGAAUAUAAUUGGGAAAACUAAAUUUAUGAAAGUCAAUCAUGUUUUAUAUAUAGGUGAAGAAGAAUUGAUGGUGUGGAUGGCAUUUUCACAAUCAAGUCCUCUUGGGAAAACAUUUUGAGUACGUUAAAUUAAUUUUCAGGACCGACAUCAGCAAGGUGGUGGAAUAUGACUUUUCAGCAUUUAUUCACUUACAGAAACAUCCAUCAAAACAACUAUCCAUGUGCAAAAGUAUCUUCAUAAAAACUAAGGAAACCAGAUUCAGGGGGUGCACGUGCAAGUUUGUUACAUGUGUAUAUUGUGUGAUGCUGAGGAUACGAUUGAUCCCAUCACCCAGGUCUGAACUUCUAUAGGCUGCAGUCUGCCUGAUCCUCAGCAGGAAAUUUCUGCUUCAGGCUGCAGUAAUGCAGCAGCCCUUCUUUUGCUGCCUAGCUGUGAGUUGGCUCUGCUCCACAUGACUCUCGUCCUCUUCCUCAUAUCAGCGGGCUAGCCAGCGCAUGUGAUAGUGUUUGAGUAUUUGUCCCUUCCAAAUCUCAUGUUGAAAUGUGAUUCCUAACGUUAGAACUGAGGCUGAAUAGGAGAUGUUUUGGUCAUGGGGUUGGAUUUCUCAUGAAUGGCUUGGCAUCCUCCACUUAGUAAUGAGUAAGUUCUCACUCUAAGUUCAUGUGUGAUCUAGUUGUUUAAAAAAAGACUCUGGAAGCUCCCUGCUUCACUCUUUUGUUCCCUCUCUCGUCAUGUGACAUGUGACCAUGAAGUUCCCGUUUCACCUUCCACCAUGAAUAAAAGCUUUCUGAGGGUUUCAUCAGAAGCUGAGCAAAUGUUGGUGCCAUGCUUGUAUAGCCUACAGAACCAUAAGUCAAAUAAAUCUCUUUUCUUAAUAGGUUACCCAAUCUCAGGUAUUUCUUUAUAACAACACAAAAUGAAGUAUCACAGCAUGUUUACCACAAGUAAUAACAGAACUACAAGAAGGCAUGACCUGCUGCACAAGUGCUUUUAAAGCCCCUACUUGCAUCAUGACUAUUUCUAUUCUUGUGGCUAAAACAAGACACAUGGCUAAGCCUACAGUCAAGGGGCAGAGAAGUACACUCUCCCCUUAGUAAAAGAAUGGGAAGUUAUGUAACAAAGGGCAUGAAUACAGGUAGGCAAGAAGACUU
rnacentral:lncRNA from 1 species